rnacentral:misc_RNA from 1 species
AAAAUUGAGUUGAUUACUUGUGAUGGGAGUGAACCUGGUUUGGCUUAGAAAGUGUGAGAAGUACUUUGAGAUCUAUAAGGUGCCAAAGGAUCAAAGAGUGGCAAUUGCUGCUCUAUUUUUAAUAGACAAGGCAAAUUCUUGGUUUCAUAAUUGGAGUUAAGGAAAGAAUAAUUUGGUAUAGGAAGAUUUUGAGCGGGAGUUGUGUAUUAGGUUUGGGGAUGACGGAAUGGAAGAUGUAAUAGAGGAAUU